GGGAGUUUGGCCGAGUGGUUAAGGCGUCAGAUUUAGGUUCUUGCGAAAGAUCAAACAUUCUGAUAUCUGCGGAUGCGCGGGUUCGAAUCCCGUAGCUCUCA
rnacentral:tRNA from 1 species